rnacentral:snRNA from 1 species
GUGCUCGCUUCGGCAGCACAUAUACUAAAAUUAAAACGAUACAGAGAAGAUUAGCAUGGCCCCUGCACAAGGAUGACACGCAAAUUCGUGAAGCGUUUCAUAUUUUU